rnacentral:lncRNA from 1 species
CGAACAACGGCUGGAAGAAGUACGUGCGCCAAAAAUUUCUUUUUGGUUGUAUUUCGAUUUUCACUCGGUUUUUCUUCUAAUUAGGUAUCUUUGCCGCUGUUGAUUCUGCACGGAGAGGCUGAUAUUGUGACAGACCCAUCAGUGAGCAAGGAAUUGCAUGAGAAAGCAAAGAGUUCAGACAAGAACCUGAAGCUGUACAAAGAUGCUUACCAUUCUCUAAUGGAGGGUGAGCCUGAUGAAACCAUAAUUCAAGUACUCAACGACAUAAUCAGUUGGUUGGACCAGCACUGCAAAUGAUUUUUUUUUAAAAAGACCGUACCUCCAUGCUCAACCACCAUUGAUUGGCUCUCUGCCCCCCAAUUGGUAGGGUUGUGACCUUCUGUAUAGAACUUUUUUCUUGCGAGGUUUUCAUUGUUUUUACUUCAAUAAUUUUUUAUGUGGCGGAAAAUAAUUGUAUCUAUUAUGAUAGUGUCUGGGUGGAAG